UACGUAGGGGGCAAGCGUUGUCCGGAAUUAUUGGGCGUAAAGAGCGUGUAGGCGGUUCGGUAAGUCUGUCGUGAAAUCCUGAGGCUCAACCUCGGGCGUGCGAUGGAUACUGCCGGGCUAGAGGGUGGUAGAGGCGAGUGGAAUUCCCGGUGUAGCGGUGAAAUGCGUAGAGAUCGGGAGGAACACCGGCGGCGAAGGCGGCUGCCUGGACCGGCCCUGACGCUGAGGCGCGAAGCUAGGGAGCAAAGCGGG
rnacentral:rRNA from 1 species